UGGUAUUCAUAGUCCGAACUUACAAAGACCUAAGUAGUAAACAGUUAUUUGUUCGAAACUUAAAGGAUUUGGCGGUGCUUUAGUCAAGUUAGUGGAACCUGCCCUGUGAUCGACGCACCACGAAAACUCUUACUUCAUCUAGUAGAUGGUCAGUUUGUACACCACCAUUAACAGGUGCUCCCAGUAGGGAUGCAUUAUAACAGACGCUAUGUCUAAAAAAUUAGGUCAAGGUGCAACCAAUGGUUAAGGUUGAGGUGGGUUACAAUUUUGUUUGAAAAUACGGAUUAUAUCUUGAAAAGUUUUUAGGAAGGAGGAUUUAAUUGUAAUAUUUGUUUAAUAUGCAAGUAUGGUAGUUGCUCUAAAGCAUGUA
rnacentral:rRNA from 1 species